UACGGAGGGUGCAAGCGUUAUCCGGAUUUACUGGGUUUAAAGGGUGCGCAGGCGGAUAUGUAAGUCAGUGGUGAAAUCUCUGGGCUUAACCCGGAAAUUGCCAUUGAUACUAUAUAUCUUGAAUGCUGUGGAGGUAAGCGGAAUAUGUCAUGUAGCGGUGAAAUGCUUAGAGAUGACAUAGAACACCUAUUGCGAAGGCAGCUUACUACGCAGAGAUUGACGCUCAUGCACGAAAGCGUGGGGAUCAAACCGG
rnacentral:rRNA from 1 species